rnacentral:rRNA from 1 species
CACGCUGUAAACGAUGAGUGCUAGGUGUGGGGGGACUGACCCCCUCCGUGCCGCAGUUAACACAAUAAGCACUCCACCUGGGGAGUACGGCCGCAAGGUUGAAACUCAAAGGAAUUGACGGGGGCCCGCACAAGCAGUGGAUUAUGUGGUUUAAUUCGAAGCAACGCGAAGAACCUUACCAGGGUUUGACAUCCAACUAACGAAGCAGAGAUGCAUUAGGUACCCUUCGGGGGAAGUUGAGACAGGUGG